GGGGCUAUGGCUCAGGGGUAGAGUAUCCGCUUUGCAGGCAGAAGGUGCCGGGUUCAGUUCUUGGUAUCUUCG
rnacentral:tRNA from 1 species